rnacentral:rRNA from 1 species
UCCUACGGGAGGCAGCAGUAGGGAAUCUUCCGCAAUGGACGAAAGUCUGACGGAGCAACGCCGCGUGAGUGAUGAAGGCUUUCGGGUCGUAAAACUCUGUUGUUAGGGAAGAACAAGUACGAGA